GCCCCUCACGCCUUGAUGCCCAGGCUAGCGGUGGCCACCCCAGUUCUUGUUGACUUGAGGGACCUGGCCAUCUUCCCCGUUCUUCAUCCUUCUCGGUCCCUACUUACUGUUUGUAACCACAAGUGUCUCUAUGUGUGGGUGGGUGAGGGCCCCUCUGCCCAGUGGUGUGUCUCCUCUCCCUCCCUCCCCUCCCUCUUCUGCCAGUGGCCUGGGGGUGUCCAGGCUCCCACCCAUGGCCCAGCCCCUCUCCCCUCCCUGUUGAUUCCCCCCUCCCUGCCCCUGGCUUCCUCUUCCAUGUCCCACCCUCUCCCACACCUUUGUUCCUCAAUAGCUGGGGGCUGGGACUCAGGCCUCCUGCGGGUGCCUGCCCGGCUCCACGCGGCGCCUCUCAGCCUCCUAUUGCUUGUCAGCCUGUGCGCAAGCGGUGCAGGAAAUAAAGGAUCUGUGCGCUCCUG